rnacentral:lncRNA from 1 species
UCCAACGAUACAAAAGUGUUUCAUGACAUCUUAUGUACAUGCUCAUGUUCAUGAAAGCUUACGAACAAUAUGAGGAUUAACAAGAAAACACAUGUAAUACAAAGUUUCACUCAUUUUAAACUCAUGUUCAUGCUCUAUUUGUUGGACAUGAACGUCUGUCAUGUUCUUCUUGGCCACAAAUUCGACAUCUAGAUCUAUUACCGACUUCUGUCCAAUCCAUUUCAUUACUAAGCCGCG